rnacentral:tRNA from 1 species
CGGUGUAGCUCAGUUGGCUAGAGCAGCUGAUUUGUAAUCAGCAGGUCGGGGGUUCAAGUCCCUUCACCG